GAUGAAGAACGCAGCAAAAUGCGAUAAGUAAUGUGAAUUGCAGAAUUCAGUGAAUCAUCGAAUCUUUGAACGCACAUUGCGCCCGGCAGUACUCUGCCGGGCAUGCCUGUUCGAGCGUCAUUUCAACCCUCAAGCCCUGCUUGGUGUUGGGGCCCCACGGCUGCCGUGGGCCCUGAAAGGAAGUGGCGGGCUCGCUACAACUCCGAGCGUAGUAAUUCAUUAUCUCGCUUAGGGCGUUGGGCGGCGCUCCAGCCGUUAAAGAACCAUCUUUAACUCAAGGUUGACCUCGGAUCAGGUAGGAAUACCCGCUGAACUUAAGCAUAUCAAUAAGCGGAGGA
rnacentral:misc_RNA from 1 species